CCUUGUACACACCGCCCGUCACCCCAUGGGAGUGAGUUGCUCCAGAAGCCGUUAGUCUAACCGCAAGGGGGACGACGACCACGGAGUGGUUCAUGACUGGGGUG
rnacentral:rRNA from 1 species